rnacentral:misc_RNA from 1 species
GCAAAAUAUGGGGCAGCCACCUAAAGAAAUAGUAGGGGAUAUGGCACCAGGCUUAGAAUUUGAUGAGAAUGGAAUGCCAAAAAUGCCCAAUGGAUGUCCGAUGAUGUAACUGUGAUAUAAAUAAGUACUGUAAUCAGAGAACUUGUGAUCAGGUGUGAUUAUGUAAUAUUUCAGAAGCUGAGAGGUCCUCGUUUGAUUAGGGUAUUGAUUCCAAGAGUGUUUUCGAAGUCUAGAUGUGAGUGCAAUAAUUUCUUUUAAAAAUGUAUUUGAGAGCGAGAGAGCGAGAGAGAGAGAGAGAGAGAGAAAGUGAGUGAGAGAGAUUUACCAAUAUUUGGAUAAUGUUUUAUUAGCAUCGAAAAAAAAAAUCAUAACAUUGUUAUUUAUCCCUUAUUUUAUGAUCGUUUUAUUCUUACCAUUUGUCAUUUGUUUUGUUUCUCAUGAAUAGUAUGCCUAUAAUGUGUUUGUGAUUGAUAGAUCAGGUCUUAAUUUUAUAAUUAAAAUAUCUAAUGC